GAUGAACGCUAGCGGCAGGCCUAAUACAUGCAAGUCGAGGGGUAUGGGUUGCUUGCAACCCAGAGACCGGCGCACGGGUGCGUAACGCGUAUGCAAUCUACCUUAAUCAGGGGGAUAGCCCGGAGAAAUCCGGAUUAACACCGCAUAACAUUGAGUUGUGGCAUCACAGUUCAAUCAAAUAUUUAUAGGAUUAAGAUGAGCAUGCGUGACAUUAGUUAGUUGGUGAGGUAACGGCUCACCAAGACCACGAUGUCUAGGGGAUCUGAGAGGAUGACCCCCCACACUGGUACUGAGACACGGACCAGACUCCUACGGGAGGCAGCAGUAAGGAAUAUUGGUCAAUGGGCGCAAGCCUGAACCAGCCAUGCCGCGUGCAGGAAGACGGCCCUAUGGGUGGUAAACUGCUUUUGUACCGGAAUAAACCUUCUCUUGCGAGAGAAGCUGAACGUACGGUAAGAAUAAGGAUCGGCUAACUCCGUG
rnacentral:rRNA from 1 species